UGGGGAAUUUUGGACAAUGGGCGAAAGCCUGAUCCAGCAAUGCCGCGUGUGUGAAGAAGGCCUUCGGGUUGUAAAGCACUUUUGUCCGGAAAGAAAUCCUUGGCUCUAAUACAGUCGGGGGAUGACGGUACCGGAAGAAUAAGCACCGGCUAACUACGUGCCAGCAGCCGCGGUAAUACGUAGGGUGCAAGCGUUAAUCGGAAUUACUGGGCGUAAAGCGUGCGCAGGCGGUUUGCUAAGACCGAUGUGAAAUCCCCGGGCUCAACCUGGGAACUGCAUUGGUGACUGGGCAGGCUAGAGUAUGGCAGAGGGGGGUAGAAUUCCACGUGUAGCAGUGAAAUGCGUAGAGAUGUGGAGGAAUACCGAUGGCGAAGGCAGCCCCCUGGGCCAAUACUGACGCUCAUGCACGAAAGCGUGGGGAGCAAACAGGAUUAGAUACCCCUGGUAGUCCACGCCCUAAACGAUGUCAACUAGUUGUGGGGAUUCAUUUCCUUAGUAACGUAGCUAACGCGUGAAGUUGACCGCCUGGGGAGUACGGUCGCAAGAUUAAAACUCAAAUGAAUU
rnacentral:rRNA from 1 species